rnacentral:lncRNA from 1 species
AAGAGAGAGGGCCGCUGUAGGCCAUGAAGAAAGAGCAGGGCAGAGAGGACACAGAAGGCCAGGCUGGGCUCCUGUCACUGAAGGCUGCCCAGAGAAGCCGGCUAGACCUCAGGAAACCUCGGAGCAAAUUCACCAUUUCCAGAAGGACCUUUAAUCCAGUAGUCUCUUUGCGGGCUGGGGCUUUAGCCAGGCAUCAAGACUUGGACCGCAAGGAGUUUCUGCAGGGCAGUUCACAGGAUGUGAAGCAGUGUGACCACAGGUGAUCCUCAGGAGGGCUCUCUCAGGCAUUCUGACUGGGCCCCACUGGUUCUUGCACUGGC